CAAUAGCGUAUAUUAAAGUUGUUGCGGUUAAAAAGCUCGUAGUUGGAUUUCUGCCGAGGACGUCCGGUCCGCCCUCUGGGUGAGUACAUGGCACGGCCUGGGCAUCUUCUUGGGGAACGUAUCUGCACUUGACUGUGUGGUGCGGUAUCCAGGACUUUUACUUUGAGGAAAUUAGAGUGUUUCAAGCAGGCACACGCCUUGAAUACAUUAGCAUGGAAUAAUAAGAUAGGACCUCGGUUCUAUUUUGUUGGUUUCUAGAGCUGAGGUAAUGAUUAAUAGGGAUAGUUGGGGGCAUUCGUAUUUAACUGUCAGAGGUGAAAUUCUUGGAUUUGUUAAAGACGGGCUACUGCGAAAGCAUUUGCCAAGGAUGUUUUCAUUGA
rnacentral:rRNA from 1 species